rnacentral:rRNA from 1 species
UCACCCGCUGAGUUUAAGCAUAUCAAUAAGCGGAGGAAAAGAAACUAACAAGGAUGCCCUUAGUAACGGC